rnacentral:misc_RNA from 1 species
AAAAUCGAGGUGUUUUUCCCCUAAUAAAAGGAAUAGUUCAGACCUUUAAACUUUUAUAAUUGAUAUCUCACACUUUCCCAUAUGAGCUUGUCAAGUGCAUGAUUCGAAAUUGAAUAUGAGAAAAUAAGCAUAAAGUGAAUAAGGCACGCAUCUCAAGUGCCUAAGUAAUACGUGGAUAAAGUUGCUUUGCCUUGAGGUAGGUGAGGCCCUUUGGCACUGCUCCAUUUCAUGUGGGCACGUAGAUGAGUGCUUGGCUUGUCAUUGAUGACAUUGGGGGAACCUGGUU